rnacentral:rRNA from 1 species
UGUCGGUAAAACUCGUGCCAGCCACCGCGGUUAUACGAGAGACCCUAAUUGAUAGGCACGGCGUAAAGAGUGGUUUGGGACACCCUAAAAAUAAAGCUAAAGACCUUCUAAGCCGUCACACGCAUGCCGAAGGCGCGAGACCCUAACACGAAAGUAGCUUUACUCUCAUCCCUGACGCCACGAAAGCUAAGAAACAAACUGGGAUUAGAUACCCC